UACGUAGGGUGCAAGCGUUGUCCGGAAUUAUUGGGCGUAAAGAGCUCGUAGGCGGUUUGUCGCGUCGGGAGUGAAAACUCAGGGCUUAACCCUGAGCCUGCUUCCGAUACGGGCAGACUAGAGGUAUGCAGGGGAGAACGGAAUUCCUGGUGUAGCGGUGAAAUGCGCAGAUAUCAGGAGGAACACCUGUGGCGAAAGCGGCUCACUGGACCACAACUGACGCUGAGGCGCGAAAGCUAGGGGAGCAAACAGG
rnacentral:rRNA from 1 species